GACGAACGCUGGCGGCGUGCUUAACACAUGCAAGUCGAGCGGUAAGGCCCUUUCGGGGGUACACGAGCGGCGAACAGGUGAGUAACACGUGGGUGACCUGCCCUUAGCUCUGGGAUAAGCCUGGGAAACUGGGUCUAAUACCGGAUAUGACUCCAUGACGCAUGUUGUGGGGUGGAAAGCCUUGUGCGGCUAGGGAUGGGCCCGCGGCCUAUCAGCUUGUUGGUGGGGUGANGGCCUACCAAGGCGACGACGGGUAGCCGGCCUGAGAGGGCGACCGGCCACACUGGGACUGAGACACGGCCCAGACUCCUACGGGAGGCAGCAGUGGGGAAUCUUGCGCAAUGGGCGAAAGCCUGACGCAGCGACGCCGCGUGGGGAUGACGGCCUCGG
rnacentral:rRNA from 1 species